AACACAAAGUUGGCCAGUGAUUGAUAUCUUGCAAGUCUUUAAAAUGUUUCAUCAGAUUUGAUAAGACCAAAAGCUUGAUAAAUCAUAUUACUGUAGCAGAAGUGUCUUUGGCCUCCAAAUUUACAAGAACACCAUUGUUCCCAAAUUUCCCAACAAAUGAUAUUAGGAGUGAUCUUCAACAAAAUUUUAUGGAUAUCAUUCUCCGGUCUUACACUCCACCAAGUGUUAAAGAUGUCGAUAAUUGAUUGAUUUACAUGUUGAAUUCCGA
rnacentral:lncRNA from 1 species